GGGCACAGCCCCACCAGCACGGGCAGCCAAGAGCCACUGAGGGCCUGAAACCCCCUAAGGCUUGGACCUCAGGCCUCCAAGCACUUCCUGGGAGGAUGAGCGCAGAGGCUGUGGUGGGACCAGGCUGCGCUGCAGCCUCCUGUCGACUUCACAGCCCGUGUCUGGCGGAGCCAUUUGACGGGUCUAGGACUGCGCUUUCCGGUCCGUCACAGCAGGCGGGGGUCAGGGCCACGGCCUCCUGAAGGCCCCCGUGAAAAGCUCCAAGACCCCAGCAGCACCCUCACUCAUCUUGCAGAGGAGGCUGCAACGUGCCGAUGAUUUAGGUAGCAACUCACGGCCUGAAGGGGACGUGUUGGAGGAACACUGGCAGCCUGGCUUUGUCACUGGUUCAAUUCUCCACUUUUAAGGACUCAGGGGAUUAGACUGGGCCCAAGGAUAACCCAGGAUGACUGCCCUAUCUCAAGAACCUCAACUUUAAUCGCAUCUGCAAAGUCCCUUUGCCCUGAAAGGUUGUGGACUAUGUAACCCAUUCUCUGUCCGGGCUGGACCACACAUGGCAUCCUGAAAUCACUUUUUGGUAUCAUAAUACAAGAGGGACUGGCCACCUGGAUGCAUUCUGAGAGGGUGAGUGAUGAUGAGGCAAAGAGAAUCACAAGCUAUGAGGACUGGCUGAAAGAAGCAGGACUGUCCAGCCUGGGAGAUGAAGGGGAAUGUGAGCACUGGCUCUGAGCCUGUGAAACGGAGCUUGUUGGAAAGAACCCUUCUUCUACACAAGCCCCUGGGAGAUGACUAUUAGGUCCAGCGGUGAGAAGUGGGCUCUGUGCUAGGGGCUUCUUGCUUUCAGAGGGGAAGCCACAGAUAAAGCGACCUUGGUGCGGGGCGGAGAUCACCCAGCUGGCUGCAAGUGAGACACACUGUCUGCUUCAGUAGGACGUUGGAUCUCAUGACUUGCUUUGACUCUGAUUUUGCACAGUUGUCAAAGAUGGCCCCACAACUCUGACUUGAUUCUGUCUUUGGGUGUAAAGGUCUCAACGAAGAGACAGAGGUCCUAUGAAAGAAAGAGAUCUGCCCAAGGUCUGAAAAUAGUGGUUGCAAAGCUGAAUUUGGAAACCAAGCCCCCUGAUGCUUGACCCAGGCCCCCAUUUUGCUGCCAGUGUUUGUGGAGGAACAAAGAGCCCAAUGCCUCCUCCUUAUAUACACUGUCUCCUGGGUCUCCAGACUCUGGGUUUUCAGUCUUGCACGCUCACUGUCUCAGAGGCCUUUAAAGAGAAAGGAACCCUACAAUUUGAAAUUUUAAUACUUAUUUUUUCAAUGACAAGAUGAGGAAAAAAUCAUAUCAAAUCAGACUGGUUUCCUCUGAAGAUUUUACUUCUGCUCUGAGCUGUUUUGAGGUGACCAACUGCUCUAAUUAGGCUGGAAGUAAAACUGGCUUUCAUGAGAUUCAGGAUAUGGCUGGAGGGGAAAGCUGUCAAGACUGGUUAAGAUCAUGAGCACCCACACUGGCCUCAGAGCAUUCCAGGAAUCCAUUGAUUCAUUCCAUAAUUCAUUCCACCCAGUAACCACAAACACAGACGUGCAGGAAGAACAGACAUCACUGACUGAGGCUGUCUUGUUAAUACACCCAGGGUGGUACAAAGCAGAAAAUUUUUCACACUUCAGUCUACUGCCAGCCCCCUACCCCACUGGGGGGAACGGAGGGAGUGCUACAGAAAGAAGUCAGGACUGAGGUUCCCAAUCCCACCUCUUCCUUUCUAAUGUGUGCUGACCUAUGAAGGGAAGAAAUAAGGGCCAGUUCUUUCUAAGUAGACGGAGUUCUGGGGAGGACCAAAGGAGACGGAGGAUGGGAAAGUACUUUGCAAAGUGAAAAACACUGCACUGACAUGAGGGUUUACUCCCUUAAGGAACACUGGACACCUAUUAAAAGACACACGCCAUGCUGAACGCCAGGGAUAUUGAGCUGAAAAAAAACCAGACCCUGCACUCAGGAAGACAAUCAGAUCUAACACAAAGGGCAAGCUCGGAUGGAAAGCGCAGGGGACCCUGAGCGCAGGAGGGGUUGGGCAGGAGCAAAGGUGAUGGUGAAGAUGGGCGUGAACAGAGUACUAAGGCAGGAGAAGGACUGUACUGGAUUCUAGAAACGAUCUCACUCUCCUUAUUUUAUUUCAUACUCAAAGUGGUCUGCGAAAUGGGUGCUAAUUUCACCAUUUCCCUACCGUGCUGGAAAGCACAGCUCCCGCUGUGGGGAGCACCCUGCCUGGUGGACAAGACCAGGAAUGCUCCCCCUACAAAUGUCGAGUGCUGAGGCCAAGAAUGGCUGCUCUAAAACCAGAGGCCAUUCUAUUGUACAAUUCUCUUUUCCUGAAACCAGUGAUACCACCUUCCAGGGUGGCCAACAAAAACCAUUACUAGGAAGGCAGCUGGUAUGGCUUAGUUCCUUAGCCUGGGUUGACAGGUAAUGUAAUUACUUUAUUAAUGAACUGAUUUUCAAAAAAAACCCCAAACUGAAUAUUGUAAAAAAAAAAAAACAACCAAAACCAAACAACUUUGUCCAAGUUUGCUGAACGCUAUUUCUUUCAAGUAGUUUUGCUGGUGACUGAUUUAAUCCUCUGCCGAGCUAACACUCCUGGCAGGAAUCACACGCAGAUGCGUGCUGCGCAGCAAAAGCCACGUGGACGUGGCAGGGUGCAGAGAAGUGAGCACUGAGCUGGGAGUCAGGAGACGGACUGCACCUGCCCUCAGAUCUCGGGCAACCGAGUGCCCUCGAGGCCUCUGCAUCAUCAUCUGUACCACGAGGGACUGGUCUAGCAGGCCACCUGAGCAUUCCCAGCACCUGGUCUGAGUCUCGGUUUCCUCAUUUCUACACUGUUGGUAAAGAUUAAAUUAAAAAAUGAAUGGGAAAGAUUGUUAAAAAGUGGACCAGCUCACUUGUCAGAGAAGCCUGUCAGCGAGGUGUGGGGCAUAGCCCUUGGCUUUGCUAAUACUCGGGGCCACCGAGGCCGGGCCAACUUCCUCGCGCAUGGGGAUUUCUAGCGGUGGUUCCAACUAAGAAACUGCAACUCAUCUGCGCCUCAUGGGCAGGUCUACAGAAAACUGCAUGGCCGGGAGUCACUAUGAAGUAGCACCGUUCGCAGCGGUUACUUUUCCCAUCACCAAGCCCAACCAAAGCUGUGCCCAGACCACCCUUCUCACUAGUUUACAUGCAACAGGAACUUUUUAGCAGGGAACCCUUGCCGUGCAUCCUCCACACGACUGCCACCACCCGGCAGUCAUUGCCUGGUGUGGGGGACUCUCUUCAACUUGCACUAAAUUCCUCUUCAACUCCAUUAAUCUGGAUCUAGCUAAUAGCAGAGUUCAUGAUUUUAAAAAAAAUCCUAUCAUCCUGGCCUAGAAUCUAGAAACAAAUGUAUCUGUUUUGACACACACCACUCAAAUCUUCGCACACAAACGGGCUGGUAAAUCCGCCCAGCUCUGCCUCCUCUGGGCGUCCACUCAUCUCACACUGUAGCAGCUUUCAAACCCGUUGGCCUUGGAGGCACCUACUGGACAGUGACUAGAUCCAGUUUCUCCAUUUGCCAGACCCUCAAAGAGCUCACAAACUCCAGCUCUUCACAAAGCGUUUCAGCUCUGGCUUGUAACACAUAACCUCCACUUCCCACUCAACCUCGGUCUCCUUUUCCACCUGCGUUUACUGCCAGGACACGUGUCCCUGAUCAGAUAGACAUACCUGUGAACCUGCAGGUGGAAUGCGGAGGGACAGGCACACCCCACUGCACCCACCUGCACUGACCACAGUUCUUACAUCCUCUGGGAAACCCUGCCUGGCCAGGGUCUUGGCCCCGUUCCCUCCUCUGGGUCCCCUGGCAGCCCGUGUGUAAUGAUUCUACAGCACACAGACAAAAGGGACACCUUUCGGCGAUCUGUUCCAGGGGCCGCUCCACCACCAACGCUGCCAAGUUGGGCAGGGGCUGUGUUUUAAGUCAUCUCUGCAGCCCCGGCCGGCAUGAAUUGUUGAUGUGUAAAUGGAGGACUAAUGGAUGGAGGAAGGUGGAGUCAGGGAAGCCCUAUACAUUAUCGUGAAAUGGCCUGACCUUAAAACUUGAGGACGGAGACAAGUCCCAGCUCUGUCCUUUGGUAGCAGCAUGAUUCCAGACAACUCUCUCAUCCCUCCCCCAGGCUCAUUUCAUUACCAGUAACACAAGGUGAUGGUCCCAAUGCUACCACGGGACUAAUGCGGAGACCACGGGUGUACUAGAAGGCAAGUGCAAAGGGGAGACGUUGUUUUCAUUUCAAAAUCUUUUCUAGCCUGGCACUUGGGAUAGGGACUGCCAAUGAAAACAUACUCUGCAAACGUGAAGAAUGCCAGGCUAAUCCCAUGUACUAGCACUUCCAUACAAUCUGAAGCUCAGGAGGCAUGAGGCUCGGGCCGAUGGUCCUGGCUGUCCAGUGAGUCCUCCGAGAGCCCUAGAUAAGUGAGCCCUCUGUGGGCCUCAGUGUCCAAAUACACAGAGCAGAGAGACACCUGGAUAAUCUCCAAGCCUCGGCCUGCUGGCUCUUGCCCCCAGGCUGGCAAGAUGGCUUCUAGGUGGUCUCCCUCUUUUCCCUGACCUUGACCCUGUCCUUCCCCACUCAGAGUCACAGGCCGCUUUAAGUCUGUCAACCUCUCUCUCCUAGGAAGCACUCAACACAGGCUGGGGUCAGUUACUCUCUUACUGUCUUCAUCCCUCACUUUUCCUCCAGUAAUUUCUAUUUUAAUUAAUGCCAUCGCAAUUUAUUUGGCAGGCAAUCUGGGCAUUUCUUUCCUAUUCCUCACUGUGUCCAAGAACUGAUAACCCACAUCAAACCUUAGCAGUUCUUGCCUGGGCUAAUUCGACAGCUUCUCAACUGGCUUCCUCGCCUCUAGUUACAUCUAGCUCCUUCAAACCCAUCUUCCACAUCAUCAGUUCCAGGAGUAAUCAAGGUUAACAUGCAAAUCUGACAAAGUCAAGUACCACGUAAAACUCUGUGAAGGAGACCUGUCUCCUGUGGGCAAGCUACUGUGCCCAGACUUGUCGCCAGCACAGCCCACACUCCCACUCACUGUCCACUGAGGCUGGAAGGAAGGCCGCCCGCUCUCUGACCUCCCACAGUGGGAGAAGGCUCAGUUUAGGCUUUGUCUCUCCAGGAAGCUUCCAGGACUCACCCAGGGGUGCCCACACAUUUGGGAUCCACACGCACCCUGGAUGUGCUGGGAUAACACUGCAAUUACAAUGGCCUACCUUGGCACCUGUCUACAUCGAGCACCCUCGGAGGGGAGUCCCUGGGUUUUAUCCCUGUUGCCCCAUCCCUAGUGCCUGGCAGACUGAGUGUUCAACCAGGUUUCCCACAGCCUCUAGCAGAAGCCUUCUGGACAGUUUUAACAUGGGAUCCUGGAGCAAAGGGCUGGUGUCACUGUCAUUGUGUGUGUGUGUUUAAGCAAAAUCUAUAUGCUCAGGAAAUGCUGUAUCUCACGAAAAAUUUAAAUGUUUAAAAAGAUGAAGUUUCUCUCUCCUUUCUCAGCUCCCUCCAGAGGCCACUCCUGGUACUGUUAAGGCAGGACGGGGAGCAAACCGAGGCAGGGAGGGAGGCACGCCUCACCCACUAACUCAGCGGCUGUGAGCCUGGUCUGGUCAGAUUGCCAGGUGCCUGAAAAUCACAAGAAAAACCGUUGUAGUGAAGGAGGAGGGGAGCCCUUGAAGUUCUGUGUGUAUCGUUUCCACUAGCUGGGAAAGAAAGCCCUUGAAACUGUGCGUUCAUCCCCAGGUCUUGAGAGGGGAGGAGGAGGGGAACCCAGAAGCUGGCUACCAGCAUGAGACCCCCCAAAAUCCCGAUGGUCAGGGCACACAGGCCAGCUGGGUGCCCGUCUGCAGCUCAGUGCUCCACUGUGUUUCAUAAAUAAACCUGCUAUCUCAGUUCCACGGGGCGUGCUGCCUCUCACUUGCAUUCAUCUCUUGUGAGCUGAGACAAGAACCAAGGAGGGGGAGCUCCCUAUUAUUGUUACUGGUCUCCCCAGUAACAGUAAUAGUUUCGAGUAUAUUCUUUCCCAGCCAUCCUUUGCAACAUCCAGGCAGGUCUGUGAGGCCCCAGCCCCCUUUUCCCUCAUAAAUGGGUGUGCACCACCCCCUCCAUUCUACACCUGAGACACAACAGAUGGGCUUCACGGAUUCACCCACACAACCCCUGAAACUGUCUGCAACAUUGUGGUCGAGCAUGUUGCAUUUUUCCAGGGGACUCUGUGAAUAACUUCCAUUAACUUUUCAAAGGUGCUCCUGAACUCCAAAAAAGGAGACUGUCCCACCGCAAAAAGCAUACGAACUGCCCUGAGCCCAGGACUACCACUGAAGCCCCGUCACAGUAUGAUCCCCUGCUCGGGGAUCGCUGAGCCCACAGAGGAGGGGGCUUGAAGCGGGGGACACCUCCACCUGUCAGUAACAGAGGAGCUGGGAGCAAUUCGGAGUGUGUGGGAACUUCCAAUGUCAAUGCAAGUCGAAUACAGAGUCAGGGAGUUCCGUUUGGCCCAGCACGCUGGAGUCCAUUUGCUAAAGGCAGCAAUGCAAUAGAGAUCUCUGUCUGAAUUCCUUUCUGGUCUCAGUUCAUGGGGACUCUGGAGCUGCACUGUGCAAUACCUCAGCCUCAAGCCGCUGUGACUAGGAGCACCUGAAACGCGGCCAGUCUGAAAAGGGGGUGAUGGCAGUGUAAAUUCUUACCAAUCGCAAAGACUUAAUAUAAGAAAGUCAU